ACUAGUUUUAUUUCCGGAUAGCACUUUAAGCUCCCGUUUUAGGAUAAUAACUCUUUUAAGGAUUAUAACUUGGACUUCCAAUAUGUCGACAUGGAUAAACAGCCUCAAGUCAACUUUAUAAGUGCUCCGUCACCAUGAUGUGUCGCUGUGGUACGAAAGGAUUGGGAUCAAGCAUGCUAACAGUUAUGCAGAUUGUUGAGAGCAAAAUGAUGAGGGAAGGCAGGAAAGUCUGAGUCUUAUAGUCUGUUAAUGUUAACAUGUUAAAUGUUUAAAACACCUUUUUAUUCAUGAUUUUCCAAUAUGAUAUCAUGUGUAUUGUGAUCCUAAAAUUGGACUUUUUUCUUUAUUGGAUUUUUAGGAAUAUUUAACUGCUUCAGUCUUUGAAAUAAUAUCAUGACCGUAAAGCAAACCACAAAGUAUGUUUUAAUAUAUUUUGCCUUAUACUACCGUACAGGCCAUCCAUAUAGCAUACUUUUGUUGUAAAAAACAUCUUAAUAUUUGCACAAUAGGUUUUAAGACUUUGAUUUUUUGAAGGUGAUCAACAAAUGAAUGAUUUUUCAUAGAAUUUUCUUUUUAUAUUAUGAUUUAAUUGCAGUAUGUACUCAUGGCAAAAUGGUGUUCGAGAGGUGACGAAUAAGGAUUUGCUUGCAAAAUUGAAGAACGAUAAUAUGCAAAGAACAGAAAGAAAGGUUCUCUUAACAUAGAAAGUAAAGAAAUAAUGAAGUUCACACUACAGUUGACAAUCUGGAUGUGUUUCCUUUGUUAUUUGAACAUGAUUUAUUUUAACUUACAUAACAAGUAUGCACUACAAUAAUGAAUAUCUAUAUUAAUAGUAAUGAUAUUCCAUUAAAAAUUGAUAUGGAAAAAAUAUUCUUUGACAGUGCAAGAUAAGAUAAAUCCAGACAUAGUCAGAGUCUUCAGUUAACUUGGAUGUGUUCCAUUUGUUUCAUCCACAUACUUGAAAUUUGUCUUGUAACUACAUGUAUUUUUAUGAGGUUAAGUGGUGAGUAAUCAACCAUUUUUAUGCCCCCCGAAGGUGGGCAUAUUAAAAUCGCACCGUCCGUCCGUCCGUCCGUCCGUCCGGCCGGCCAUGUAACUUUCCCUUGUAUGGACAGAUUUUAAAAUAACUUGCCACAUGUGUUCCACAUACCAAGACGACGUGUGGCGUGCAAGACUCGUGUCCCUACCUCAAAGGUCAAGGUCACACUUAGUGUUUAUUCACAAUGGAGUGCUUCAUAUAAGGACGUAGAGUAUAGGUUGUCGUGUCCGGGCUGUAACUUUCUCUUGUAUGGACAGAUUUUAAAAUAACUUGCCACAUGUGUACCACAUACCAAGACGACGUGUCGCGUGCAAGACCCGUGUCCCUACUUCAAAGGUCAAGGUCACACUUAGUGUUUAUUCACAAUGGAGUGCUGCAUAUAACGACAUAGAGUACAGGUUGUCGUGUCCGGGCUGUAACUUUCCCUUGUAUGGACAGAUUUUAAAAUAACUUGCCACAUGUGUUCCACAUACCAAGACGACGUGUCGCGUGCAAGACCCGUGUCCCUACCUCAAAGGUCAAGGUUACACUUAGUGUUUAUUCACAAUGGAGUGCUGCAUAUAAGGACAUAGAGUAUAGGUUGUCGUGUCCGGGCUGUAACUUUCCCUUGUAUGGACAGAUUUUAAAAUAACUUGCCACAUGUGUUCCACAUACCAAGACGACGUGUCGCGUGCAAGACCUGUGUCCCUACCUCAAUGGUCAAGGUCACACUUAGUGUUUAUUUACAAUGGAGUGCUGCAUAUAUGUCAGUAUAGGUUGUCGUGUCCGGGCUGUAACUUUCCCUUGUAUGGACAGAUUUUAAAAUAACUUGCCAAAUGUGUUCCACAUACCAAGACGACGUGCCGCGUGCAAAACCCGUGUCCCUACCUCAAAGGUCAAGGUCACACAUAGAGUUUAUUCACAAUGGAGUGCUGCAUAUAACGACAUAGAGUAUAGGUUGUCGUGUCCGGGCUGUAACUUUCCCUUGUAUGGACAGAUUUUAAAAUAACUUGCCACAUGUGUUCCACAUACCAAGACGACGUGUCGCCUGCAAGACCCGUGUCCCUACCUCAAGGUCAAGGUCACACUUAGUGUUUAUUCACAAUGGAGUGCUGCAUAUAAGGACAUAGAGUAUAGGUUGUCAUGUCCGGGCUGUAACUUUCUCUUGUAUGGACAGAUUUUAAAAUAACUUGCCACAUGUGUUCCACAUACCAAGACGAAGUGUCGUGUGCAAGACCCGUGUCCCUGCCUCAAAGGUCAAGGUCACACAUAGUGUUUAUUCACAAUGGAGUGCUGCAUAUAAGGACAUAGAGUAUAGGUUGUCGUGUCAGGACUGUUACUUUCCCUUGUAUGGACAGAUUUUAAAAUCACUUGCUACAUGUGUUCCACAUACGAAGACAACGUGUCGUGUGCAAGACCCAUGUCCCUACCUCUUAGGUGAAAGAUACACUAAGUGUUUAUUCACAAGGGAAUUCUGAAUAUAAGGACAUAACAGUGUAGGUUGUCAAGUAUGGGUGGUAUUUUUUUAUGUUCAGAGGCAAUUUAAAAUAACUUGCCAUAUGUAUUUGACACGUAAAGGCAAGAUCAACUUUUCAUGUACUGACCUUGUUCGUAGGUCAAUGUCACAUUCGGGGGCAUUCGUCACAUACUGUGACAGCUCUUGUCUUAUUUGGGGAUAGUAUGUAUUUAUGUUGACACUAUGUGUACCUUCAUUCUCUUCAUUUUUCUGUACGAAACAAGACCAAAUGUGUCAUUUUAGUUUAACCAUUAUAAACUGUAUUUAUUAUACUCUAUUGAAUACCCAUUCGUAUAUUACCAAACAUUUUAACAAAUUUAAAUGUGUUGUUAUUUUGAUUAUAUUGUAUUGAUGUCAUAGGGUACAUGUACAUGUUCAUUCCUAGCCUUCAAGAUAAAACAGAAUCUGAUAUAUUUGUUGUUGUAAAAUGUGUUCUUUAUGCAUAUACAUAUAGAGUGGCUACAGAGAACUCAACAUUUUUCUUACAAAAUAUCUAAGGGUUUCCCUGCAUGUGAUUGCUACAUUCAGUGUACCUCUUGUUAUAUAAUACAUUAUAUAUGAUCAAUAAAACAGAUUAAGA